CCCCCAGCCCCCCGGCCCCCAGCUCCUCUAUUCCAUCUGGGGCUGGCUAAGUUCCGGGACCAGCGGGGUCGCCAACGGCGGGGAUGAGUUGCAGGAGCAACUCUGAAAACACCGACAACUCCAACAACUCCGAGGUUUCUCGGCUCUGGAAGCUAUUACAAGAUCUGCAGUUCGAAUGCGGGCAAUGCAUAAACUGCCUCCAGUCCCUGGAGCAGAGGAGGAAUUCCCGGUGCUGGAGAUGGAUUAACGAGUGCACUACCGCGUUCUCAGUCCAGCAAGAGCAAGACCAGGAGGAGACUCAAGAAGGGGAUGAGGAUGAGGACGGGGACGGGGAAGGGGAAGGGGAAGGGGAAGGGGACGGGGACGGGAACAGGAACGGGGACUGCGCCGGAGCAGCUCCCAAUCUUCUGAGUGUCCUCCUUCAGAAAGGAGCUAGCCUUGGACGUGUCCGCGCUAUUGGCUCUG
rnacentral:lncRNA from 1 species